GGGGCUGUAGCUCAGAGGUAGAGCACUUGCCUCGUAUGUGUGAGGCACUGGGUUCUAUUCUCAGCACCA
rnacentral:tRNA from 1 species